ACCUUGCUGACGAGUUCCAAGUAGCACGAAACCCGUGUCCAGGAU
rnacentral:hammerhead_ribozyme from 1 species